AGUGAACGCUGGCGGUAGGCCUAACACAUGCAAGUCGAACGGCAGCACAGUAAGAGCUUGCUCUUACGGGUGGCGAGUGGCGGACGGGUGAGGAAUACAUCGGAAUCUUCUUUUUCGUGGGGGAUAACGUAGGGAAACGUACGCUAAUACCGCAUACGAUCUACGGGUGAAAGCAGGGGAUCUUCGAAACUUUCGCGAUUGUAUGAGCCGAUGUCGGAUUGGCUAGUUGGCGGGGUAAAGGCCCACAAAGGCGACGAUCCGAAGCUGGUCUGCGAGGAUGAUCAGACACACUGGAACGGAAACACGGUCAAGACUCCUGCGGGCGGCCGCAGUAGGGACUAUUGGGCAAUGGGGGAAAGCAUGCUCCAGCGAUACCGAGUGGGUGAAGAAGGACCUCGGGUUGUAAAGACCUUUUGUUGGAAAAGAAAAGCAGGAGCUUAAUACCACGAUGUUAUGACGGUACCUAAAAAAUAAGCACCGGCUAACUUCGUG
rnacentral:rRNA from 1 species